UUAAAUCUAAUGAUUAGGAGAGUAAAUAUAGAAAGUGUUCAAGCGAACUAGAAAGUGGUGAGAGUCUAGUACAUAACUAUAUUGAAGAGAGCCUAUAAAGAGACUUUCUGAAAAUGAUAACUUUAUCAAUUAGUAGGAAAGUUCGGUCGCAACCGUUAAAAGCUUAGAGUGAAAAUGAAUAUUUAUGCAUAAGGUGCAUAUGUAUUUCAUUUUAAAUAGAGUGGUAACGCGGAUUAUAAUUCGUCUCUUAA
rnacentral:ncRNA from 1 species